CUGCCCUCGAGCCUGUCCAGCAUCUAGGUGCUGUUCGGGUUCGGCGUUGGGGCACUACGGGAAGCCUCGUGCUAUCCCCCGUAGGCCCCGAAAUGAAGUGGCGGUCCUGCCGCGGCUCCCCCUGCGUAGUAUUACAGCUCGCUUCGGGACCCGGUGGAGGCCUGCCGUCAAACCUUACUCUCUAA
rnacentral:misc_RNA from 1 species